rfam:Ipomoea nil DNA, scaffold: scaffold2742, cultivar: Tokyo-kokei standard.
GGAUGCGAUCAUACCAGCAUUAAUGCACCGGAUCCCAUCAGAACUUCGAAGUUAAGCGUGCUUGGGCGAGAGUAGUACUAGGAUGGGUGACCCCCUGGGAAGUCCUCGUGUUGCAUCCC